rnacentral:rRNA from 1 species
GACGAACGCUGGCGGCGUGCUUAACACAUGCAAGUCGAACGGAAAGGCCCUGCUUUUGUGGGGUGCUCGAGUGGCGAACGGGUGAGUAACACGUGAGUAACCUGCCCUUGACUUUGGGAUAACUUCAGGAAACUGGGGCUAAUACCGGAUAGGAGCUCCUGCUGCAUGGUGGGGGUUGGAAAGUUUCGGCGGUUGGGGCUGGACUCGCGGCUUAUCAGCUUGUUGGUGGGGUAGUGGCUUACCAAGGCUUGGGCGGGUAGCCGGCCGGGGAGGGUGACCGGCCACAGUGGGACUGAGAUAGGGCCCAGACUCCUACGGGAGGGAGCAGUGGGGAAUAUUGCACAAUGGGCGGGAGCCUGAUCCAGCAACGCCGCGGGCGGGAUGACGGCCUUCGGGUUGUAAUCCGCUUUCGCCUGUGACGAAGCGUGAGUGACGGUAAUGGGUAAAGAAGCACCGGCUAACUACGUG